AACGAACGCUGGCGGCAGGCUUAACACAUGCAAGUCGAACGCCCGUAGCAAUACGGGAGUGGCGGACGGGUGAGUAACGCGUGGGAACGUGCCCUGAGGUACGGAAUAACCGAGGGAAACUUCGGCUAAUACCGUAUGAGCCCCGCAAGGGGGAAAGAUUUAUCGCCUUGGGAGCGGCCCGCGUCGGAUUAGCUAGUUGGUGGGGUAACGGCCUACCAAGGCUUCGAUCCGUAGCUGGUCUGAGAGGACGAUCAGCCACACUGGGACUGAGACACGGCCCAGACUCCUACGGGAGGCAGCAGUGGGGAAUCUUGCGCAAUGGGGGCAACCCUGACGCAGCCAUGCCGCGUGAACGAUGAAGGCCUUAGGGUUGUAAAGUUCUUUUACCCGUGACGAUGAUGACGGUAACGGGGGAAUAAGCUCCGGCUAACUUCGUG
rnacentral:rRNA from 1 species